GAUGAACGCUGGCGGCGUGCCUAAUACAUGCAAGUCGAGCGAACAGACGAGGAGCUUGCUCCUCUGACGUUACCGGCGGACGGGUGAGUAACACGUGGAUAACCUACCUAUAAGACUGGGAUAACUUCGGGAAACCGGAGCUAAUACCGGAUAAUAUAUUGAACCGCAUGGUUCAAUAGUGAAAGACGGUUUUGCUGUCACUUAUAGAUGGAUCCGCGCCGCAUUAGCUAGUUGGUAAGGUAACGGCUUACCAAGGCAACGAUGCGUAGCCGACCUGAGAGGGUGAUCGGCCACACUGGAACUGAGACACGGUCCAGACUCCUACGGGAGGCAGCAGUAGGGAAUCUUCCGCAAUGGGCGAAAGCUUGACGUAGCAACGCCGCGUGAGUGAUGAAGGUCUUCGGAUCGUAAAACUCUGUUAUUAGGGAAGAACAAAUGUGUAAGUAACUAUGCACGUCUUGACGGUACCUAAUCAGAAAGCCACGGCUAACUACGUG
rnacentral:rRNA from 1 species